GAUCCACUAGCUCAGUAGGUAGAGCACUUGACUUUUAAUCAAGGGGUCCGGGGUUCGAUCCCCCGGUGGAUCACCA
rnacentral:tRNA from 1 species